AACAAAGUAAGUCACCAAAACUUCACACACACGUCUAAGCUAAAUAUCUUGGUAAACAAAUAAAGAUAUCAUCCUAGAAAAGGAAUCGUUUAUCAAAAAUCAACAAGAUGAUAAAAGAUUAAAGAAAGGGAUGCUUAUAAGUCAUGGGAUAAUAACAAAAUCCUCUUCCAAGCAUCAAAUACAACUUCUAAACUUCAAGAGGUACCAACAAACCCACAAACUCAAAGUUCA
rnacentral:lncRNA from 1 species